GACGUAGGUGGCGAACGUUAUCCGGAAUUAUUGGGCGUAAAGGGUGCGUAGAUGGCAUGAUAAGUUAUCAGCGGUAAAUCGAGGCUCAACCUCGUGGAAACUGGUAAUACUGUUAUGCUUGAGUACAGGAGAGGUUAAUGGAAUUCCCUGUGGAGCGGUAAAAUGCGUUAGAUAUCGAGAGGAACACCUGCGGCGAAGGCGGGUUGCUGGGCUGACACUGACGCUGAGGCGCGAAAGCUAGGGGAGCGAACGGG
rnacentral:rRNA from 1 species